ensembl:lncRNA
AGGUAGAUAUGUAUAGGGGGAAGGAGACAGGGAUACUGGAGUGAUGGAGGUAGAUAUGUAUAGGGGAAGGAGACAGGGAUACUGGAGUGAUGGAGGUAGAUAUGUAGAGGGGGAAGGAGACAGGGAUACUAGAGUGAUGGAGGUAGAUAUGUAUAGGGGAAGGUGACAGGGAUACUGGAGUGAUGGAGGUAGAUAUGUAGAGGGGGAAGGUGACAGGGAUACUGGAGUGAUGGAGGUAGAUAUGUAGAGGGGGAAGGAGACAGGGAUACUGGAGUGAUGGAGGUAGAUAUGUAGAGGGGGAAGGAGACAGGGAUACUGGAGUGAUGGAGGUAGAUAUGUAGAGGGGGAAGGAGACAGGGAUACUGGAGUGAUGGAGGUAGAUAUGUAGAGGGGGAAGGGGACAGGGAUACUGGAGUGAUGGAGGUAGAUAUGUAUAGGGGGAAGGAGACUAGGCGUCAGGAUGCAUGAUAAACAGAGUAGCAGCAGCGUAAAUGAA